rnacentral:lncRNA from 1 species
AUCCUUAUGUGCAUUGGAAUAUGUCUGGCUGAUACUGGAAUAAGAAAUUUUAAUACAUCCUCGCUGCAGAGACCUCUAGUCAUCUACCAAAGAUGUGUCGUUAUCUUCAAUAGCACUGAGUUGUCAAGAAGCAGUGGUCCAGCAGGUGACCACAUUCCCCUUACUCCUGUGCAUUUUGGUGGGGCCCUAUGCCUGAUUCUCAUUAAGGAAACAUAAGCAGAGUGACAUAUAUGUCACUUCUGGGCUUAGGUAAAUUAAAAUCUUUUUUUUUAAGAUUUUAUUUAUUCAUGAGAGACACAGAAAGAGAAAGGCAGACAUAGGCAGAGGGAGAAGCAGGCUCCAUGCAGGGAGCCUGAUGCGGGACCUGAUCUCAGACCUGGGGAUCACGCCGUGAGCCAAAGGCAGGUGCUCAACCAUUGAACCACCCAGACGUCCCAGGUAAAUUAAAAUCUGAUAGAGUUCCUCAACAUUCUCACUUCUCCUAUAUGGCAUUUGGCUGGAGAACCCCCAGCGCAAUUUUGGAAGCCACAUGCUGAAAAAGUUUAAGCAUCUGUUAGCCUAGAUCCCCGAGCAACUAUAAGGAGCCAAGCGCACCCCUCCUGCCUAACCUCCCACCCACUACCUUAUUACCAAUCAAAAACUCAUUCUGUACUUAGGCAAGAAAUAAAUAUCUAGAGUGUUAAUACAUUUGUCUUUGGAGAUUCAUCUAUUACAAAAACCAGACUGAUCUUGGCAAAUAAACACCUCCAUGUGGACAUACCCUCCUACCACUACUCAAGAUCAAGAGUUACUGCUAUGGUUAGGCAAGAAAUCUGUGACACUAGCCAUCAUGACCAUCUUAAACCAAAGGAAAAAAUGUCCCCAUCUUUGAAAAAUGUUUGUAAAGGAAUUCACAAAUACUAUACCAGGCUUGGCAAAGAUGGAAAGGCUCUAUUCACGAAGGCAGAAAACAAGCCACAGGACUUACCCCACAGCAAAACUCACUUGCUGGAUGCCAACACACUACAGAUUUCAACAGCCUGCCAUGUCCUCCCUUCAUUCCUCCCCGUCUGCUCGGGGUGGAGGAGGGGGCAGAAAAAUACAACCUGCCACAAGACUGUGAUUAAAGAGCAUCUAAGAGUGAAAAGGCUACAGACAAAUUUGGUUUGUUUACUUCCUCCUCCUCCUCCUCCUCAAUCCUGUUACCAGCUU